GACGAACGCUGGCGGCGUGCUUAACACAUGCAAGUCGAACGGAAAGGCCCUGCUUUUGUGGGGUGCUCGAGUGGCGAACGGGUGAGUAACACGUGAGUAACCUGCCCUUGACUUUGGGAUAACUUCAGGAAACUGGGGCUAAUACCGGAUAGGAGCUCCUGCUGCAUGGUGGGGGUUGGAAAGUUUCGGCGGUUGGGGAUGGACUCGCGGCUUAUCAGCUUGUUGGUGGGGUAGUGGCUUACCAAGGCUUUGACGGGUAGCCGGCCUGAGAGGGUGACCGGCCAAAUUGGGACUGAGAUACGGCCCAGACUCCUACGGGAGGCAGCAGUGGGGAAUAGUGCACAAUGGGCGGAAGCAUGAUGCAGCAAAGCCGCGUGCGGGAUGACGGCAUUCGGGUUGUAAACCGCUUUCGCCUGUGACGAAGCGUUAGUGACGGUAAUGGGUAAAGAAGCACCGGCUAACUACGUG
rnacentral:rRNA from 1 species